GUGGCAACAAAAGUUUCCAUGCUUGUCCUCACGAAAUGAUGAUGGCAGAUGAUCUGGACGAACUGCUCGACGAAGUGGAAGCAAAGUUUUGCCACGACAUUUCAUUACCACCAGGUCAACACAAUGAAGUGGACCAGGCCUCCGAAGAACAAGACUUACCUCGCAAAAUCAAGCGGGACGCAACAAGAGAUGAAAACGACGACAUCGACAUGCUGCUCGAUGAGUUACUAGACGAUGACAACAACGAAGAUGAUGUCAGAAACAGAUCAACCAAUUCUAAAGUUGGCAAAGCAGUCAGAAGUGGCCCCAAGGACCUAGUGACACAGAAAAGAAGAUGCUGUCCAGUGUUUGUUGGUGGCAGUACUAUACCAUCAGGUGUAGGAACAAGCAACUCACAAAGGGUAUGUGACCAGCUCAGGUGCAUCUCCUGUGAUUUUCGAAUCGCUUCAUUUGAUGAUCACGAGUGGGACUCCACAUGUGAUUACCUCUUCUUUAGGAAUAAUAUGCCGGACUGCCACCGACUACGGGCCAAGCUGAGGAGACGUAGGGGAGCACGGGCAUACGCAUGCCAAUGCAGUUGGCAUUCAGCUGUGGCGCUCACAGAUCUCAGGGACCAACCCCAGCUCAAAUGGGUCUGCGGCAAGCACGAUACGUGACAUUCAACCCCCAAAAGAAGGCACAAGAAUGUCAACACAUCAAGUGUAGCAUCAUUUCAACACGGGGACACAUGGCACUUCUUACGGAUCUCACCUGGAUAUGGAAGAGUCGACUCCCUGUGGAAGGCCACGUUUUGAUAGUCUUCAUCAGAGGAUGAGCCACUCGACUCCAAAGACUCGGCUGUGUGCCAGAGAAGAUAAUUAAUAGUGUUGCCAGACUGUCAGACUCAAACUAGUAUGACAUUGGAGGCCAGCACCAAGAUCAGAGCCACUGACAGCACGAUGCAGCCUGCUACUGCAGCUUGCAGUCCGCGUUGGGGUGCGGCCGCCUCCAGGGAGGCCGACGUGGCUGCACCUAGAAAGGACGGGAAAGGAAACCGCUUCUGCAUUUGCACCAUGCUGCAGAUAGUGCUGUUGUAGAAGCACUUUCCCAGGCUGAUGUGUUGUGUUGUGUUGUGUUGUGUUGUGUUGGCACUGAAAGACUGCAGUUUAGUUUCUGUUCUAGUAGUUUGCUGUCAGAAGUGUGAAUGAAUUGGAAUGCCAUAGAACUGAAUUAAUGAAACCCUACUUCAAAAGGAUCAGAGUAGAGCAUGUAGGGCAAAUUAGCACAUACGUAUGAUGAGUAUGUUAAUUAUGGUGAUCAGAAGCAUGCUGAGUGAAGGGUAGGGCAGAGUGUUGGUAUCGUUAGUGAUUGUAUACUGCAUGGCAUAGUAGGAUAAAGGGUACCUGUGGUCCAGUUGGGUUGAGACUGCGUGGUAUGCAGAAGGGAGAAGGGAGGCUGAAGGUCUCCUAUGUGACAAAAAGGAUUAGUGGUUCAUGUGGCCCUCUAACAGAUGUUGUUAUGAUUGCUUUUUCAUUUUCCAUUCAGUUUAGUUUACAUUUUGUAUUCAUACUUGUCCAUUAUUUUGCUUUUGUCAGAACUCUUUCUACAAAUAAAUCUAUGUUCAUCUUUGUGCUUAA